rnacentral:rRNA from 1 species
CCCUCAAAGAGCUGCCGCUGGCUAUACAUGCAAGUCGAACGAACUUCCGUUAAUUGAUUAUGACAAAACUUGUACUGAUUGAGAUUUUAACACGAAGUGAGUGGCGAACGGGUGAGUAACACGUGGGUAACCUGCCCAGAAGUAGGGGAUAACACCUGGAAACAGAUGCUAAUACCGUAUAACAGAGAAAACCGCAUGGUUUUCUUUUAAAAGAUGGCUCUGCUAUCACUUCUGGAUGGACCCGCGGCGUAUUAGCUAGUUGGUGAGGUAAAGGCUCACCAAGGCAGUGAUACGUAGCCGACCUGAGAGGGUAAUCGGCCACAUUGGGACUGAGACACGGCCCAGACUCCUACGGGAGGCAGCAGUAGGGAAUCUUCCACAAUGGACGCAAGUCUGAUGGAGCAACGCCGCGUGAGUGAAGAAGGGUUUCGGCUCGUAAAGCUCUGUUGUUAAAGAAGAACGUGGGUAAGAGUAACUGUUUACCCAGUGACGGUAUUUAACCAGAAAGCCACGGCUAACUACGUGCCAGCAGCCGCGGUAAUACGUAGGUGGCAAGCGUUAUCCGGAUUUAUUGGGCGUAAAGCGAGCGCAGGCGGUCUUUUAAGUCUAAUGUGAAAGCCUUCGGCUCAACCGAAGAAGUGCAUUGGAAACUGGGAGACUUGAGUGCAGAAGAGGACAGUGGAACUCCAUGUGUAGCGGUGAAAUGCGUAGAUAUAUGGAAGAACACCAGUGGCGAAUGCGGCUGUCUGGUCUGCAACUGACGCUGAGCUCGAAAGCAUGGGGUAGCGAACAGGAUUAGAUACCCUGGUAGUCCAUGCCGUAAACCGAUGAUUACCUAAGUGUUGGAGGGUUUCCCGCCCCUUCAGUGCUGCAGCUAACGCAAUUAAGGUUAUCCGGGCCCUGGGGGUAGGUUCACGAGACC